AAAACCACGACCCUCUCCUAAAAAGCAAAGCGCAGCCACAAUCUUUCCCUGCGCAGCAGGGGAAAAAAACAUGCAUCAGAUAACCACCUGCCUACAGCCACCUCGGGGAGGGUGGGGGUGGAAAAAAAGUACGUUUAACAAUAGACGAAGCCUCUUCAGACAUCACAUCUCAAUUCUGCGCAUCUCGAUUUGUUUUUGUAAGCACGAGUGCCUUGAGGCUGGCCAGAACCAAAAUGGCUCGGGAUUAAAAAGUUAAGAGAAAUACUUUCAAGAUGCCGUUGGCCCCCUCGCGCUGCGUUUCUGGACUUGACGUCAAAGGAAGAGGAUUGAAAAAAAAAAAAAAAAAAGAAAAAAAAAGAACCCCCCCCAUAAAGUUUUGCCAUCACUGGCUUGCACGGGACUUUUGUUUUGAAGUCACGCCGGAGCGGCAGGGGAUGGCAUUUUCUGCAACACUGGAGCACCACUCCCAGCGCCGAGUUCGCGGAGGGAAGGAGCUACCUGACUGUAGCUGCAUGGCGGGCAGGGAGAAGAGCCCUCCUGCGUUGUUCAUGACCUCCCAACCGCGAACCUGACUGCUCUCGAUGGAUUCGGUGCCACUACGACCUGUUUACAACCUCCACCAGCGAGAAGUUAAAAAUAAAUGAAGACCCAUCCUGCCAGCAAUGCCAGCGCGGGAGGGAUGGGCGAGCGGGGGGCACGCGACUUCGGGCUUCUCCCCACCCCAAAGAAAAGCAGCUGUCGAUUUAUUCAUUUAUUUUUAAAAAGGAUCCUUUAACACCUCCCCCCCAAAACUCACCCCCAAACACAACCGAGAAACUUAUGGCGGGCGCAUCGCGGUGGCUGACCCAGAUUCGGAGUUCACCGAAGGAAAAAGGGGGAGGCGGAAAAGAAAAGCAAGUUCCUAAUUUCCCCAAAAUCAGCCGAAUAAGGAGAGCAGAUGCCCGCAGCAGCGAUCGCAGCGAGCCCGUGCCCAGCGGAGGGGCUCCCAGCCCUCCUUCACUUUUCGAAAAGCAGCGCAGCGGGCAGAAAAAGCCUUUGGCCAGUCCAAAAAAAAUCUUAUCGUUGCAAUAAUAAUAAUAAUAAUAAUGAUGAUAAUAAUAACA